rnacentral:misc_RNA from 1 species
GAAAUGCGAUAAGUAGUGUGAAUUGCAGAAUUCAGUGAAUCAUCGAAUCUUUGAACGCACAUUGCGCCCCUUGGUAUUCCAUGGGGCAUGCCUGUUCGAGCGUCAUUUGUACCCUCAAGCUCUGCUUGGUGUCGGGUGUUUGUCCCCGUCUCCGCGCGUGGACUCGCCCCAAAGUGAUUGGCAGCCGGCGUACUGGUCCCGGAGCGCAGCACAUGUCGCGCAAACGAGUGCCUUGGUACGGCGGCGUCCAUAAGCCCCUCUCUCACGCUCUUGACCUCGGAUCAGGUAGGGAUACCCGCUGAACUUAAGC